rnacentral:rRNA from 1 species
GACGAACGCUGGCGGCGUGCUUAACACAUGCAAGUCGAACGGAAAGGCCCUGCUUUUGUGGGGUGCUCGAGUGGCGAACGGGUGAGUAACACGUGAGUAACCUGCCCUUGACUUUGGGAUAACUUCAGGAAACUGGGGCUAAUACCGGAUAGGAGCUCCUGCUGCAUGGUGGGGGUUGGAAAGUUUCGGCGGUUGGGGAUGGACUCGCGGCUUAUCAGCUUGUUGGUGGGGUAGUGGCUUACCAAGGCUUUGACGGGUAGCCGGCCUGAGAGGGUGACCAGCCACAUUGGGACUGAGAUACGGACCAGACUCAUACGGGAGGCAGCAGUGGGAAAUAUUGCACAAUGGGAGGAAGCCUGAUGCAGCAACGCCGCGUGCGGGAUGACGGCCUUCGGGUUGUAAACCGCUUUCGCCUGUGACGAAGCGUGAGUGACGGUAAUGGGUAAAGAAGCACCGGCUAACUACGUG